rnacentral:rRNA from 1 species
GUGCCAGCCGCCGCGGUACUACCGGCAGCCCGAGUGAUGGCUGAUCUUAUUGGGCCUAAAGCGUCCGUAGCUGGCCGCGCAAGUCCGUCGGGAAAUCCAUCAGCCCAACUGAUGGGCGUCCGGCGGAAACUGCAUAGCUUGGGACCGGAAGGCUCGAAGGGUACGUUCGGGGUAGGAGUGAAAUCCCAUAAUCCCGCACGGACCACCGAUGGCGAAAGCACUUCGAGAAAACGGAUCCGACAGUGAGGGACGAAAGCCAGGGUCUCCAACCGGAUUAGAUACCCCAGUAGUCC